rnacentral:rRNA from 1 species
UACGGAGGGUGCAAGCGUUAAUCGGAAUUACUGGGCGUAAAGCGCGCGUAGGCGGCCAAGUAAGUCGGAUGUGAAAGCCCCGGGCUCAACCUGGGAACUGCAUUCGAUACUGCUUGGCUAGAGUAUGAGAUAGGGAGGUAGAAUUCCACGUGUAGCGGUGAAAUGCGUAGAUAUGUGGAGGAAUACCGGUGGCGAAGGCGGCCUCCUGGCUUAAUACUGACGCUGAGGUGCGAAAGCGUGGGGAGCAAACAGG